UCCUCUGUGUCGUAAUCGGUUAGCGCGUUCGGCUGUUAACCGAAAGGUUGGUGGUUCAAGCCCACCCAGGGACG
rnacentral:tRNA from 1 species